UACAACAAAAAAUUGUUCAAAAUUACUUGAAAAUUAGUACAAAUGUCUGAAAUUCAAGGUGAUAAAGCAGAAUCAGAACAAGAUUUAGGAAAAGAUGUAAUUUCGCAAAAGGAGACUUCACAGAAGAACAUUGAAGUUGAAACUGCAAAAUCGGAACAAGAUGUGAGUUUGCAGAAGAACAUUUCAGAGAAGAACAUUUUGCAGAAGAACACUUCAGAACGGAGUAAUUCGGAGAAAAAUACUGAAGAAAUGUA